rnacentral:rRNA from 1 species
CGGGUGAGUAAUGUAUGGGGAUCUGCCUGAUGCGGGGAUAACUACUGGAAACGGUAGCUAAUACCGCAUAAUGUCUGCGGACCAAAGCGGGGGACCUCCGGGCCUCGCGCCAUCAGAUGAACCCAUAUGGGAUUAGCUAGUAGGUAAGGUAACGGCUUACCUAGGCGACGAUCCCUAGCUGGUCUGAGAGGAUGAUCAGCCACACUGGGACUGAGACACGGCCCAG